rnacentral:rRNA from 1 species
GUGGGGAAUAUUGGACAAUGGGCGAAAGCCUGAUCCAGCCAUGCCACGUGUGUGAAGAAGGUCUUCGGAUUGUAAAGCACUUUAAGUUGGGAGGAAGGGCAGUAAGUUAAUACCUUGCUGUUUUGACGUUACCAACAGAAUAAGCACCGGCUAACUUCGUGCCAGCAGCCGCGGUAAUACGUAGGGUGCGAGCGUUAAUCGGAAUUACUGGGCGUAAAGCGCGCGUAGGUGGUUUUGUAAGUUGUAGGUGAAAUCCCCGGGCUCAACCUGGGAACUGACUCCAAAACUGCAUGACUAGAGUACGGUAGAGGGUAGUGGAAUUUCCUGUGUAGCGGUGAAAUGCGUAGAUAUAGGAAGGAACACCAGUGGCGAAGGCGACUACCUGGACUGAUACUGACACUGAGGUGCGAAAGCGUGGGGAGCAAACAGGAUUAGAUACCCGAGUAGUCC